rnacentral:tRNA from 1 species
GGCUGUGGCUCAGCGGUAGAGCGCUUGCCUAGCAUGUGUGGGGCCCUGGGUUCGAUCCUUAGCACCA